UACGUAGGGUGCGAGCGUUGUCCGGAAUUAUUGGGCGUAAAGAGCUCGUAGGCGGUCUGUCGCGUCGAUCGUGAAAACUUGGGGCUUAACCCUGAGCUUGCGGUCGAUACGGGCAUGACUGGAGUUCGGCAGGGGAGACUGGAAUUCCUGGUGUAGCGGUGAAGUGCGCAGAUAUCAGGAGGAACACCAAUGGCGAAGGCAGCUCUCUGGGACGGUACUGACGCUGAGACGCGAAAGCGUGGGGAGCGAACAGG
rnacentral:rRNA from 1 species